ACGCUGUUUUCAGUGGUGUCCGGUCUGUCAUGAUGUAACUAUUGGGCUCCAAAUACUCCAAAGCACGAUUUUAGGUGUUGUUGCUGGGUGAAAGGCAAUGCAAGCGGAGAGACGAGGAGAGAUGCUAUCUUAAACGUAGUUUGGAAGGUGAAAGAGGGAGAUGAAGAGGGAAUACGAGGAGCGUUCAAACGAGAGCCUCCCUCUCGCACUACUCUGAGGGCUGGGUGGCUGGAGUCAAGUCGACUGACUCGGUACUGACUCGACUCGACUCGAGUCUCACAGCAAUCCUCUGGCACCGCUGCAAGGCGACUAGUUUGACGGGUUCAACCAAUUUCCG
rnacentral:misc_RNA from 1 species